AUCCUAAUAUAUUAGUCCAGAUGAAUCAAAAAAUAAACCUCCAAUUUUCCGAUGAAUAAAAAAAAAAAGAAAAAAAAACUUCUCGGAAUGUUCUACGCUUCCACUUGCCAUUUUCCCCCUUCUCUUGAAAACCUUGACUCAAUGUUUCACGUCCCGCUUCCAGCACACUCUCUCCCUCCUUCUUCUCCCAAACCAUAACUACAUAAACAUAAUUCAAGUGAUGUGCUGAAUUAUUCAACAGCAAAAGCUCAUCACAGUCUCAGCCAUAGUACAGGGGGUUUGGCUUGUGCCAAUCAGGUGAAGAAGAUGUUGCAUCCUGUCUGGGUGUUGAAUUUAUGAAGAGGAAGAAGUGUUUCCUUGUCGAUCGAUGUGUUAUGUGACUCAGAGGACUUCAGUAUUUGGGUUUUGAUUUCAAUUCACCCAUGGAAUGCAACAAGGAAGAAGCUCUGAGGGCGAAGCGAAUAGCUCAAAAUAGAAUGCAAAGCGGUGACUUUGUAGGGGGACUCAAGUUUGCUAUGAAAGCCAAACAAAUGUUUCCGGAGACUCAGAACAUUGCGCAGAUCCUUGCUGUUUGUGAGGUUCAUUGUGCUGCACAGAACAAAGUCUCCGGGUCUGACAUGGACUGGUAUGGAAUUCUUCAGACUGAACCAUUAGCUGGUGAAGUUACUAUAAGGAAACAAUAUAGGAAGCUGGCACUGCUACUUCAUCCUGACAAAAAUAAAUCUCCUGGGGCGGAGGCUGCUUUCAAGUUGAUUGAGGAAGCUAACCGAUUUUUGAGUGACCAAAUAAAGUGUUCUUCAUAUGAUUUGAGGAUCACAGGCCCUUUGAGGACUACAUUUUGGACACAUUGCUCACACUGUAAAACUAGGUACCAGUACUACAAAACCGUUAUGAAUGCUAAGUUGCGAUGCCAACAAUGUGCCAAGUCCUUUAGAGCCUAUGAUAUCGCAUACCAGGACGCAUCACCUGGAUAUACACGGUCAUCAUCUGAUAACCAUAAAAAGCCUCCAAAGCAUGUGCCACCAAAAGAAGCAUCAAAAAGUAAUGGGGGGAAACCUUGUGGUAGAAAGCCGAGGGAUAGGUUUGGGCGGUUUACUCCUGUGUAUAUGUCAAAACGCACUGCUGGAGUUGCUAAAGUAAGUGCCCCACCUGAAGAAUCAGUUUUAGAGAAUAAAAUGAAAAUUGCGCGGUCAAGUUUGCAAAGAAAGGAGGGCUCCAAGUCAGAUGUUGGUGAUAGAGAGCCCAAAUCGAGCAAAUGUUCUCCGCUUAAUUCAAAUUUGCACUCCCAUGCUCGAAAUCCCCCUCAGCGUGAUGAACUGCGAACUUUUUGGACAUAUUGCCCACACUGUAAAACUAGGUACCAGUACUGCAAAAACGUUAUGAAUGCUAAGUUGCGAUGCCAACAAUGUACCAAGUCCUUUAGAGCCUACGAUAUGGCAUACCAGGACGCAUCACCUGGAUAUACACGGUCAUCAUUUGAUAACCAUAAAGAACCUCCAAAGCAUGUGCCACCAAAAGAUGCAUCAAAAAGUGAUGGGGGGAAACCUUGUGGCAGAAGGCUGAGGGAUAAGUUUGGGCGGUUUUCUCCUGUGUCUAUGUCAAAACGCACCUCUGGAGUUGCUAAAGUAAGUUUCCCACCUGAAGAAUCAGUUUUAGAGAAUAGAAUGAAAAUUGAGCAGUCAAGUUUGAAGAGAAAGGAGGCCUCCAAGUCAGAUGUUGAUGAUAGAGAGCCCAAAUCGAGCAAAUGUUCUCCACUUAAUUCAAAUUUGCAUCCCAAUUUUGAGAUCUGGUACCCAGAUCCAGAAUUCAGUGAUUUUGAGAAGGAUAGGGCGGAGGAUUGUUUUGCUGCUAAUCAAUUCUGGGCUAUUUUUGAUGAUAUUGAUAGUAUGCCAAGAUUAUAUGCUCUCGUCCGGAAAGUCUACUCGCCUUUCAAGUUGAAGAUUACUUGGCUUGACAUUGACUCAGAUGAUCAAGGUGAGAUUGAUUGGCAUGAUGCUGGUUUGCCUGUUGCCUGUGGCAAGUAUAAACUUGGGAAAUCUUAUAGAACUGCAGAUCGUGCUAUGUUCUCUCACCAGAUCCAUUGCAUAAAAAGAAGCGACAUAGGUUCUUAUCUGGUUUAUCCCAAGAAGGGCGAGACUUGGGCAAUUUUCAGAGAUUGGGAUAUUGGGUGGAGUUCUAAUCCAGAAAAGCAUCCUGAAUAUCAAUUUGAAUAUGUGAAAGUCCGAUCUGAUUUUGAUAAGAAUAUUGGGAUUCGAGUUUCUUAUCUUGGCAAAGUGAAAGGGUUUGUUAGUAUCUUUCAGCAAACUGUGCAGGAUGGAUUUAGAUUAUUUUGCAUUCCGCCUAAUGAGCUGUACAGGUUUUCACAUCAAAUUCCUUCAUAUAAGAUGGCUGGUAAUGAAAGGGAAGGUGUUCCAAGAGGGUCUUUGGAACUUGACCCUGCUGGUCUUCCUAUUAGUCUUUUUGAAGUUGGUGGUUCUGGUGACGAGAAAUUGGAGGAUGGAGUGCUAAACAAUGGAAUCAAUGCUUCAAUUCAUAAAUCUUCCAUGUCUAAAGCUGAACAGGAAAUGUCUAAUGAGGGUACUCGCAAAGCAAAGUUGCCUGAGAGUAAUGCUUCUGGAAGAGUCUCGCCUAUCCUUUUAAGGUCACCAAGGUCAAAUGGUCAAGCAAGCACUUGUCAGUAUAUGUCAAAAUGUACAGCCGGAGUUGGUGUCUCUUACAAAGUUGAAAAGAGUAAAGGGGGCCAUGAGACUGCAGGAUUGACAAAGGCUAGUGUUGGAACUUCCAAACCUGGUACAUUCAAAGUCAAGGAAUCGCAAAACCCGAAAAAUGUUGGAAGUAAGAGAGCAAGGCAGUCAGCAUCAGAUUCGAGAGAUGAUCGCACGGCUGAAAUUGUUAAUGACUUGAAAGAUACCAAAGUUCGAGAAAACGGUGCUGAUCCUUCUGGGCUUGAUGCAGGAAUCCAUCAUAGAAAAUCUUCCAGGAAAAAACAGCGUGUUUCAUACACAGCUGAAGGUGGUGAUAGUCAGAGUUCUUCCAAAAGGUCACGGCAACAUGAAUCAUUUAAUAUUGCUGAAGUGGGGAGAAAAGAAGUGUCAGCUAAUGGUGGGUUGUUCAGUAACAGUAGUCCAGCUAGUUUCACUGCAGGUGUGGCUGGACAGAAUGGAGAGAUGAGAAACAAAGUAAGUGCCCCACCUGAAGAGUCGCUUUUAGAGAAUAAAAUGAAAAAUAAGAAGUCAAAAUUGCAAAGAAAGGCAGCAUCCAAGUCAGAUCAUGAUGAUAGAACGCCCAAAGCUGAUAAUUGUUCUCCACCUAAUUCAAAUUUGCCUCCCAAUUUAGAGGUCUGCUGCCCUGAUCCAGUCAGCUAAUGGUGGGUUGUUCAGUAACAGUAGUCCAGCUAGUUUCACUGCAGGUGUGGCUGGACAGAAUGGAGAGAUGAGAAACAAAGUAAGUGCCCCACCUGAAGAGUCGCUUUUAGAGAAUAAAAUGAAAAAUAAGAAGUCAAAAUUGCAAAGAAAGGCAGCAUCCAAGUCAGAUCAUGAUGAUAGAACGCCCAAAGCUGAUAAUUGUUCUCCACCUAAUUCAAAUUUGCCUCCCAAUUUAGAGAUCUGCUGCCCUGAUCCAGAUUUCAGUGAUUUUGAGAAGGAUAGGGUGGAAGACUGUUUUGCUGCUAGUCAAUUCUGGGCUGUUUUUGAUGAUAUUGAUGUUAUGCCAAGAUUCUAUGCUCUUAUCCGGAAAGUCUACUCCCCUUUCAAGUUGCAGAUUACUUGGCUUGAUGUUGACUCAGAUGACCAGGGUGAGAUUGAUUGGCAUGGUGCAGGUUUACCUGUUGCCUGUGGUAAGUACAAACUUGGUCCAUCUCAGAUAACUACAAAGCAUGCUAUGUUCUCUCACCAGAUACAUUGUAUAAAAGGAAGCGACAGGGGUUCCUAUCUGGUAUAUCCCAAGAAGGGAGAAACUUGGGCAAUUUUCAGAGAUUGGGAUAUUGGAUGGAGUUCAAAUCCUGGAAAGCAUUCCAAAUAUCAAUUUGAGUAUGUGGAAGUCCUAUCUGAUUUUGAUGAGAAUAUUGGUAUUGGAGUUUCUUAUCUUGGCAAAGUGAAAGGGUUUGUUAGCCUCUUUCAAAAAACUGUGCAAAAUGGAUUUAGAUCAUUUUGCAUUCCACCUAAUGAGCUAUACCGAUUUUCACAUCAGAUUCCUUCGUAUAAGAUGACUGGUGAUGAAAGAGAAGGUGUUCCAAGAGGUUCUUUUGAACUUGACCCCGCCGGUCUGCCUCUUAGUCUUUUUGAAGUUCACAAUUCUGGUCUUACCAAUCCUUAGAAAGAAGUACACCACAGUCAAAUAUAAGAAAGCACUAGUCAGUAUGAACUAUGAACUAUGACAAAGAGAUUGGCCACAGGGACUAAGGUCACCAAGAGUUAAGCACGGAAAAUCAUUUAAGAGAUGCAGGUGAAUGUUCAACGGGCAAGUUGACUGAUAAUUACAGACACUGACAAAACUAUGAAGGACAACAAUUGAGCUGAGCUGACAUUUAUUCUAAUGAAUCGAAUUUCACCAUAAGUAUGUAUGUACAUUGUUCAUCCCAGAGCGAAUGGAGCUGACAUGUUAAACUAAAUCGUUUUCUACUAUAUGUAUAUGUUAUCAUAAUUGUUCUUUUUUA